rnacentral:lncRNA from 1 species
AUGAAGGAGUAUCCCCAAGCCAGCCCUGGGGUAUGGGAUGGAGCCGAGCACAAGCGCUCCCGCUCCCGUGGAACAGGCAGCGAACUGCUGGGGCGCCCCCCCCAUCGCCCCUGGGGAAUGGGACCCAAUGGGAGCUGCCCCCGCUGCUCCCGCCCUGGAGGACCGACGGGCCGCCCCGCGCCGCCCUGGGGGUGGGACCCGGCUGCCCCCGCUGCUCCCGCGUGGAGGACCGACGGGCCGCCCCGCGCCGCCCUGGGGUGGGACCCGGCUGCCCCCGCUGCUCCCGCGGGGAGGACCGACGGUGGCCCAGAUGCUCCCGCACGGGGUGGGGGUGGGGGCGGGGGGGCCGCCGGGCCGAGCCCCCAGCUAGGGCCGCAGUCGGGCGCCCGGCGCCGCUCGCAGAGGAUGCCCGGGACCCCUCCGCCAGGCAAAGGAGUCCCCGCUCCCUCUCCCUUCUCCGCUGUACAAAGGCCCUGGCGCCGCCUCCCCAGCCGUGCUCCUUCACCUCAGAGACGUCUCCCCGCCUCCCAGACUCCGCGGCCGAGGGAAGCCGCCCACUCUCCUUUUCCACACUGUGCCAUCUUCUCCCGCAAAACGUGCGCUCGGCCCCGGCUGUGUCCCUCCGCCCCCUCCUCGCUUCUCAAGUCCCCCGGCGGCGAGUGGCCGCGCCGCGCCGCGCGCUCUCGCGAGAGUCCGCCACACGGAAGCCCCGCGCCCGCGAGGAGGCCUCCCGGGACCCCGCGGCGCGCGGUGGCGGGCGGCGCAUGCGUGGCCGCGGCUCCCAGCGCCCCCCGCGCAGCCAGCGGGCGGGGCGGAGCGGAGCGGACCGGGCUGCGCGCGCGCGGGGCCGACCGCCUUCCCCUGCGAGGCCUCGCUGGGUCCCCGUGGCCGGGCUGCCCUCGGGGGCGGUACCGCCCGGCGGCUCCCGUCGGCGUGCGGAGGUGUCCGCGGACGGACGGCCCGGACCGCCCUGGCCCCGGAAGAGCCUGGCGCCGGCCUCGGACGCCGCGGGCCCGACCGGCCACCCGCAGCGGCCUGGACGCGCCGCCGGGGCCGAGCCUCGCACCCCGCACCCCGCAGCCUGCACCCCGCACCCCGCAGCCCGCAGCCCGGGCGGGGCCUGCACGUCCGGCCCCACCCACCCGGGGCCUCGCCUCCCCGGAGCCCAGCCCCCUCCCGGCCCGGCUGUCCAGCCCCCGCCCACCGCUUCUUUUCAGUCCCCUUGAAAUCUCUCCCGGUCCCCUGGCCUCGGUCUUGCGGACGUUGCACUAA